AUUGAACGCUGGCGGCAGGCCUAACACAUGCAAGUCGAACGGCAACACAAAGGAGCUUGCUUCUUGGAUGACGAGUGGCGGACGGGCGAGGAAUGCUUCGGAAUCUACUCUGUCGUGGGGGAUAACGUAGGGAAACUUUAGCUAAUACCGCAUACAACCUACGGGUGAAAGCGGGGGAUCUUCGGACCUUGCGCGAUUGAAUGAGCCGAUGUGGGAUUAGCUAGUUGGCGGGGUAAAGGCCCACCAAGGCGACCAUCCGUAGCUGGUCUGAUAGGAUGAUCAACCACACUGGAACUGAUACACGGUCCACACUCCUACGGGAAGCUGUGUGGGGGAAUAUUGAACAAUGGGUGCAACCCUGAUCCUCCCCUACCGCGUGGGUGAUAAAUGCCUUCGGGUUGUAAAGCCCUUAUGUUGGGAAAGAAAACCCUUCAGCUUAACCGUGGAUGGGAUGACGGUCCCCAAAGAAUAAGCACCGGAUAACUUCGUGCCCCAUCCGCGGAAAUACGAAAGGUGCAACCGUUACUCGCAUUUUCUGGGCGAUCAGAGUACGCCUGCGUGAUUUAAAACAGUUGUGAAAUCCCGGGGCUCUCCCUGAAAUUAACUUUAUACCUGUGAUUAACGUGGUUAGCGUGUGUUUAGCUUCUGGGGCGAGUUAACAGUGAUUCAUCCCGGGAGGC
rnacentral:rRNA from 1 species